AAAGCGCGCUUGACUGCGAGACAGACACGUCGAGCAGGUACGAAAGUAGGUCUUAGUGAUCCGGUGGUUCUGUAUGGAAGGGCCAUCGCUCAACGGAUAAAAGGUACUCCGGGGAUAACAGGCUGAUACCGCCCAAGAGUUCAUAUCGACGGCGGUGUUUGGCACCUCGAUGUCGGCUCAUCACAUCCUGGGGCUGAAGCCGGUCCCAAGGGUAUGGCUGUUCGCCAUUUAAAGUGGUACGCGAGCUGGGUUUAGAACGUCGUGAGACAGUUCGGUCCCUAUCUGCCGUGGACGUUUGAGAUUUGAGAGGGGCUGCUCCUAGUACGAGAGGACCGGAGUGGACGAACCUCUGGUGUUCCGGUUGUCACGCCAGUGGCAUUGCCGGGUAGCUAUGUUCGGAAAAGAUAACCGCUGAAAGCAUCUAAGCGGGAAACUUGCCUCAAGAUGAGAUCUCACUGGGAACUUGAUUCCCCUGAAGGGCCGUCGAAGACUACGACGUUGAUAGGCUGGGUGUGUAAGCGUUGUGAGGCGUUGAGCUAACCAGUACUAAUUGCCCGUGAGGCUUGACCA
rnacentral:rRNA from 1 species